CAUGGAGCAAAACACCAUCAACUAUUUGUAUGAUGAUGAUGUUUAAUUUAGGUGUUACAACAAGUUGGAGACUGUGAUCAGCAAGUGAAUGAAUCUCUUAACAUUGGAUUUUUCAUACGAAGCAAAUUGGAUUGACUAACAUGAUCAUAGGACUGAAAACAGGAACUUCUUACCAGAUAUAGCAGCAAUGACAUUCUUUUCCUCAUGCAUGGAAUUGAAUUAGCCUAAUAAAUCCUAGCCCUGAAUUGAUUUUUAUUAGUUCUAAUUGAUUCCUUGAAGUUCUCCUUAGGAGACAAUCAUUGGAACAUUUUUUGUGAAUGUCUAAACUAUAUGUUUUAUAUUUAAUUAAAAUUGAUAUGAUUUUGUUUUUCAAGUCCAAAGGGGCUCCCAUAGUGAGUUUGGGCUAGUGUUCUCCUCAAAGAAGUUGUUCACGCCGCUUUGAUAGCCACCGGUGUGAGGAGGAGUUGAAAUGAAAUUGUCGACUGAUUGUUGUGGUGAUUCCUGUGGACUCUGUGCCAUUUCCAUGCAGAUCAGAGCCACAAGAUUGGCUUGCUGAAGUUGCAUGGUUACAAGCUCAGCUUGUGAUUUGGCCAAUUGUGCUUGAAGUUCAUUCACCUGCUUCUGGAGCUGGCAGAUUGCUCCUGCACAGCCAUAAACAGGGUCUCUUAUUCUUGCACUAGCCUCGUAAACCAUGCUGGUCACUGCAUCAGCCCUCUGAGACUCUGGAAGUUCCUGAAAGUGAGUAACACGUUAUCAGAUGUUAUUUUUGUGCAAAGUGACUUGUAUGAGGAAUUGAAGUGUGGAGUGGAGAAUCCGAUAUUAGAGGAAAAUUAGUGAAAUGAG
rnacentral:sRNA from 1 species